rnacentral:lncRNA from 1 species
CAGCCUCCGGGGCACCUUCAGGCAAGCGGGUGGUGGGUCCAGAACUCGGAGACCAGAAAGUGAACUUCUGGGCAGAGAUGGCCCUGCAGAGCCAGGUGUGGUCUCUGGCCACACCCAUGCCCAUGGCGGAGAGCUCCCUCUACCGGCAGCGGCUAGAAGUCAUCGCUGUAAGUGACGCCCUCCCCGCGCCCUGGGCACCCCCAAACUUUCCACCAUGCUCCCUUCUCGUCUCUCCGUCAUCUCUGCGGAGAGCGCCCUCAGCUCCAGCCCCGCCCAGGGCUCCCCACACCAAUUCUCCAGCCCCCUCUGCCCCCCAGUUCCUGUCUGGUCACUACCACCCUCAGAAUGGGGAGCUGUGGCCCCCACACUUCCAGAGCCUGCAUCGUCUAUGCCUCAUUCCUGAACCCCAGCCUCCCAAAACCCCCUUGCCUGAGCCGCAUCUCUCGGACCGCCUUUUAUCAGACCGCUAUCUCUCAAAUCUCCCUACCUCGGAGCCCCCAUCCUGACAGUCCUUCCUUGGGAACUUUCAUCCCUGACUUCCUCGUCUCUCUGGACUCCCCCAUCUCUGGGUCUCUACCACUCUGAUCCUAUCUCUGUCCUGCAUCCUUCCCUCCUCCAUCUCCCUGAACCCCAACUUUCCGCACCCACUUACAUACCCCAUCUAUCCAUACCUCCACCUCUGUACCCCAUAUUUCUGACCCCUAUCUCUGUAUCCCAUCUCCCUGAUCCCCACCUCUACACCUCAGUAUCUCUGGACCCCGUGGCUGCACUCCCAUCUCACUACUCACUAGCAUCCUCCUUUUGAUCCCCAUCUCUGCACCCCAUCUCUCUGGACCCCCAUGGCUGCACCCCCAUUUUGGAUCCCCAUCUCACUAGCACCCUCCUUUUUAUUCCCCAUCUAUGGAACCCCAUCUCCCUGCACCCCAUCUCUCUAUACCCCACUUCUGUACCCUAUCUCUCCGCACUCAACUUCUAUACCCCACCUAUCUGCACCCCACUUCUGUACCCCAUCUCACUGUACCCCACUUCUGUACCCCAUCUCUCUGCACCCCCACCUCUGCACCCCAUCUCUCUAGAUUCCAUGUCUACACUCCAUUACUCUGGGCUCCCAUGGCUGCAUCCCCAUUUCGGAACCCCAUCUCACUAGCACCCUCCCCUCCUUUUUUCUUUUUUUGAGACGGAGUCUCGUUCUGUC